UUUACUAUGGCUAGGGAGCUAAAUAAGGCAUGUUUCUUUAGGUUCACUGGGAUACUUUAUGUUUCUUUAAUUAUAUAAAAAAGUGAACAUUCACCAUCCUUACCAGGCACAGAGCUUUUUUGGGAAGGGGGGAUAGAAGGAGGGAAAGUGAGAAAAUUAGGAAAAAGGAAGGCUAUUCAUACUCCAAGUCAAUGAAAGAAAUAUAUAGUGCUUCGAGGUUCGUCCUAGUUAAGAAAGAAUUAUGUGGUGAGAAGAAGAGAGAAGGAGAAAUAGAAAAUUGGGAUUGGUUGAAUAAGCUGUAUCUUAGAGGGUUGAAAAUGUCAUCUGCAAUAAGGUCCAACACCUACACAUUCAAGACGUAAAAAGGGAAGUAAUGAUGUUAUAAGGCACAUGGGGAUGUCACAGUGAUAGGUGAUGUCAUAGUGUGCAUUGAUGAUUUCACAAAUACAAAUAACACAGGCUAGUGUUGAGACUGACUACCUCUACAGAUGCAUAGUUGCUUAAUGAAGAGCGGUGAGCAACAAGAGAAGAACCUGAUGAAAAAGUAGGAAGAUGAGAGUAGGGCCAAAGGAAAAAUGGUGAAGAAGACACUUAUAAGCAACUGUGUGUUCAGAAGCACAAGGAAGGCGCUGGUAGCUGAUGCUGUUAUAAAGAUUUCUUACAUAAACACAUCUAAUUUCAGAAGCAUAGAAAUGUUGAAUUGUAGAAUUGAAAAGGAGUCCAGAGGUCACCUUACUAUUUUUUAAUGAUGUUCGGCAAAGGAAGCCUGAAAACUAAUAUUUAAUAUACUAUUAAUAAAAAUAUCAUUGAAAUGGAA